rnacentral:rRNA from 1 species
UACGUAGGGUGCGAGCGUUGUCCGGAAUUAUUGGGCGUAAAGGGCUCGUAGGCGGUCUGUCACGUCGGGAGUGAAAACACGGGGCUUAACCCCGUGCCUGCUUCCGAUACGGGCAGACUAGAGGUAUGCAGGGGAGAACGGAAUUCCUGGUGUAGCGGUGAAAUGCGCAGAUAUCAGGAGGAACACCGGUGGCGAAGGCGGUGAUCUGGGCCGACACUGACGCUGUAGAGCGAAAGCGUGGGGAGCGAACAGG